UACGUAGGGUGCGAGCGUUAAUCGGAAUUACUGGGCGUAAAGCGUGCGCAGGCGGUUGUGCAAGACCGAUGUGAAAUCCCCGGGCUUAACCUGGGAAUGGCAUUGGUGACUGUACGGCUAGAGUGUGUCAGAGGGGGUAGAAUUCCACGUGUAGCAGUGAAAUGCGUAGAGAUGUGGAGGAACACCGAUGGCGAAGGCAGCCCUUCUGGGCCAACACUGACGCUCAUGCACGAAAGCGUGGGGAGCAAACAGG
rnacentral:rRNA from 1 species